CCAACAUAAUGCUGUCCACGUCUGGAUGCCACAGGGAAAUGAGCUGAGUGCCCAGUGAACUUUAUUGCUGCAGAGAAACUGGCAGAACUCAUCACACUUUCUAGCUGACAGCUUCCUGUGGCAGACUCAGGUCUUCUCUCUUUGUUUCUUUGAACCUUUCAAGAGUUCCAGCCUGACCACACUUGUGUUGUUCUGUGGAGUGCCUAGAAAAUAUAGAUGCUCUAAGCCCUCACUCAGGUUCCCAGAACAAGGCUACAACAUGUCUGGCUCCAUGACUUAAUUGAGUG